CAUAGGUUAAUGAGGCGAACCGGGGGAACUGAAACAUCUAAGUACCCCGAGGAAAAGAAAUCAACCGAGAUUCCCCCAGUAGCGGCGAGCGAACGGGGAGGAGCCCAGAGCCUGAAUCAGCAUGUGUGUUAGUGGAAGCGUCUGGAAAGGCGCGCGAUACAGGGUGACAGCCCCGUACACAAAAGCGCAUGUGCUGUGAGCUCGAUGAGUAGGGCGGGACACGUGGUAUCCUGUCUGAAUAUGGGGGGACCAUCCUCCAAGGCUAAAUACUCCUGACUGACCGAUAGUGAACCAGUACCGUGAGGGAAAGGCGAAAAGAACCCCGGCGAGGGGAGUGAAAAAGAACCUGAAACCGUGUACGUACAAGCAGUGGGAGCCCCACCACUAAGCCAGUGGUGAACUCCACAUACGCAUCCUUUGCUGAGGAUACGGUUAACGGAGCGAAAGCGACGUUCAACCGCAAAAGAAGCAGAGGGGGCUUAGUGGUGGGGUGACUGCGUACCUUUUGUAUAAUGGGUCAGCGACUUAUAUUCUGUAGCAAGGUUAACCGAAUAGGGGAGCCGGAGGGAAACCGAGUCUUAAUUGGGCGUUAAGUUGCAGGGUAUAGACCCGAAACCCGGUGAUCUAGCCAUGGGCAGGUUGAAGGUUGGGUAACACUAACUGGAGGACCGAACCGACUAAUGUUGAAAAAUUAGCGGAUGACCUGUGGCUGGGGGUGAAAGGCCAAUCAAACCGGGAGAUAGCUGGUUCUCCCCGAAAGCUAUUUAGGUAGCGCCUCGUGAAUUCAUCUCCGGGGGUAGAGCACUGUUUCGGCUAGGGGGCCAUCCCGGCUUACCAACCCGAUGCAAACUGCGAAUACCGGAGAAUGUUAUCACGGGAGACACACGGCGGGUGCUAACGUCCGUCGUGAAGAGGGAAACAACCCAGACCGCCAGCUAAGGUCCCAAAGUCAUGGUUAAGUGGGAAACGAUGUGGGAAGGCCCAGACAGCCAGGAUGUUGGCUUAGAAGCAGCCAUCAUUUAAAGAAAGCGUAAUAGCUCACUGGUCGAGUCGGCCUGCGCGGAAGAUGUAACGGGGCUAAACCAUGCACCGAAGCUGCGGCAGCGACA
rnacentral:rRNA from 1 species